UAUGUAGGGUGCGAGCGUUGUCCGGAAUUAUUGGGCGUAAAGGGCUCGUAGGCGGUCUGUUGCGUCGGGAGUGAAAACUCAGGGCUUAACCCUGAGCCUGCUUCCGAUACGGGCAGACUAGAGGUAUGCAGGGGGAGAACGGAAUUCCUGGUGUAGCGGUGAAAUGCGCAGAUAUCAGGAGGAACACCGGUGGCGAAGGCGGUUCUCUGGGCAUUACCUGACGCUGAGGAGCGAAAGUGUGGGGAGCGAACAGG
rnacentral:rRNA from 1 species